rnacentral:rRNA from 1 species
GUAGUCCGCGCCGUAAACGAUGAAUACCCGUCGUUGGCGAUACAUUGUCAGCGACCAAGCGAAAGCAUUAAGUAUUCCACCUGGGGAGUACGCCGGCAACGGUGAAACUCAAAGGAAUUGACGGGGGCCCGCACAAGCGGAGGAACAUGUGGUUUAAUUCGAUGAUACGCGAGGAACCUUACCCGGGCUUGAACUGGACGGGACGGGGCGCAGAGACGUGCCCCUUCUUCGGACCCGUCUGGAGGUGCUGCAUGGUUGUCGUCAGCUCGUGCCGUGAGGUGUCGGCUUAAGUGCCAUAACGAGCGCAACCCUUGCCGGUAGUUGCCAUCAGUUGAAGCUGGGCACUCUGC